CGCCCCCCCGCGCUCCGGCGGCGCUGCCCGCGGCUGAGGUGCGCGCUGUGUGCCGGUGGGCUGCGCUCCCAGCCGGGGUUGUGCCCGCUGGGGGGGACCUGAGCGGCUUGGGCACAAGUGCUGUGGGCUGAGCUUGAGGGAGACGGGAUGUUCUCCACACUCUGAAAGUGAAGUGAAGUGGGAAGCAAGGAAGAAGGAUGCUUAGAAGAAAGGCUGAUGCCCUGUUUCCCACCAGCAAUGGAGGAAAGGGUGAGGCAGGACUGGGAAGGAUAAAGCUAUCGCUGCCAGCUGGGAGCCAAGCAGACAGGCUGAGUUUCGUGAGCAGCACUGCACCGACGGACAGAUGUCAUGCCCAGGCUGGCCUGCUUUAUGUAAGUCAGCCUUUCCUGUGUGUAAAGGGUGCCAGAGGCACUUGCCAGCUGGUGAGGAUCUAUGCAGUUAAAGGGUGUGUUAAUCCACAGUGACUGCUCUAUAAAUACAGACUUGGAUCUUGUUACUUGUCUGGUGAGCUCACGGUGCUCAUGUUUCCUUAGCAAUUGCUGCCCUUUUUGGCUUAAGCAAACAGAUACGGUAUUAAAUGUUCACCAUCCCUUGGUGCCCACUGAGGUGUUUCAAGAGUCCGUGCCUGGCUUCUCCCUGAGACUCAAACCUGUGAUGAUGGCUCUGCACAAUCCCUUUUCUGCAUGGGACUGCUGUCUAGGAAGGUUGUGAGUGGGACUUGUCCCUGUGACUGAUUUUACUCUUUCAAAUGUGUAGUAAUUCACAGCACUUAGGAAGCCUUCUCAAAAAUGAGAGUAAAAUUAAAAAACAUUUUGCUUGAAAA